rnacentral:rRNA from 1 species
UACGUAGGUCCCGAGCGGUGUCCGGAUUUAUUGGGCGUAAAGCGAGCGCAGGUGGUUUAUUAAGUCUGGUGUAAAAGGCAGUGGCUCAACCAUUGUAUGCAUUGGAAACUGGUAGACUUGAGUGCAGGAGAGGAGAGUGGAAUUCCAUGUGUAGCGGUGAAAUGCGUAGAUAUGUGGAGGAACACCAGUGGCGAAGGCGACUCUCUGGUCUGUAACUGACGCUGAGGCUCGCAAGCGUGGGGAGCAAACAGG